rnacentral:lncRNA from 1 species
CACACUUGUUUUUCUACCAUCAUGGCUGAGCUAAUAACAAUCUCUAAGUAGCACCUGCCGUCAUCUUCAUCAUCAGUCUUCUGCCAGGCUCUUCCACGGUCAAAUCCAAUCACAAGCCAGGGAGUAGGGAAGCCCACUUUCUGUGGACACGGAGCAAGAUGGCAGCAAGUAAAUAAUGAGUCUGGAGAAGGAAACAGAGAAUUACCAGGGAUCGAACUCGGGACCUUGCGCUUGUGAGGCAGGCACCGGAACCACUGAGCUAAAUCCCCGGCCUAACACAAAGUCAAGGUGCAUUUUUGACAGUUUGAAGCCAAACACCUGGUGUUCAAGAAUACACUGAGUUUGGUUGUUUGGAUCAGCCCUAACUGUUACUGGGAAGCAACAAGACCCAAGAACGUCCCCAUGCAUAGCUGCUUCAUUAACUAGCUAUUGAUAUUUAGACAUACAAGGUGCAGAAUGUUUCAUAUUUAAGUAGCCUGGUGAUGUGGGCCAAGGAUUCUCUUUAUUUUUUUUCUCUUAAAUUCUUUUAUUGGUACAUUUUAGGCAUACAAUACAUUUACAUUCAUCAUUGGAAACUUGUACCUUUACAUGAGUAUCUUGGUUCUUAUUUUUUCCCCCUUCCCCUGCCCUCCCUUCAACCCCUCCACCCCUCCCUAUUUGCAAAGGCUUUUUUUCCAUUUAUUUCUUGUCUCACAUUUUUUCCUUUUCAAGGAAUCUCUUUAUAAGCCUCAUCUGAUUCUAGGUCUUCCCCAGGAUCCGGAGAAGUGUUAGGUGGCUUUUCCUCCUUAGUACAUUUCUCUUCCUCAACCUGACUGAGGAGAGGAGACUUGGGAGGGGUAGUGUUUAAAGGACCCAAAACUGAUUUUACUAGGCUCCAAGCUGAAAAGGUCUUAGGAGAGAUAG